UAAAUGGACUCUUUAUCCUUGCAGAGAUC
rnacentral:piRNA from 1 species